rnacentral:lncRNA from 1 species
UGGACGAUUCAUAGACACAUAAACAAUAUGAAUGAAAAGAUUGCCCAUUUAUUAUUCAAUAAUAAUAAAGUCAAGUACAAAUCUAUAUCCCAGAAAUAAUAAUGUGUCCGCCAUAUUGGCUUCUAGGGCAUACAUCUAACAGCUUGCUCUGAGGUCGGUGAGAACUAAUUAAAUGAGAUGGUAGAAAUUACGUUGAUUGUGUGUUGGUUGCAGUGUUGCCAUAACUGCCGAUCCUCGAUUUUCAUCGAAGUUGUUCACCUCGGCUAAUACUGAGGCUAAAGAGGUAGGUCUAAUCGGAGGUUGAGAUGCCCAACAUUUCUCCCAUCAAUAUCCAUCUUAAAGUGCAAAACAAAGAGUCAAAAUGGGAUAGAACUCCUCCUACUAAUGGGGUUCAUCUAUUCUCGUGACAUAAAAAA